AGGUUUUUUUUUUUACUGGUUGUGUGUGUUUAUUUUGCUUGAGUUUUAUAAUGAGUGAAAUUGGUGUUAAAUAAUAAAAUAUUGUAAAGUAACUAUGUAAAUCAUGAAGCAACCACAGUAUAAGCCACCAUGAUCUAAUCAAAAUUAAAUAUAAUAACUAUGUCUUCCAAUAUUUACAUGUGAUAUUAGUAUUUUAAUAAUACAUAUUUUAGUCUUCCAUUUAUAAAUUAAAUUAAUAUUUAAUCAAGUCUUCCAAAUAUUUAAAAUUGUGAUAAGAUUUAACUUAGUAUUUAAUAUAUUUUAACUUAAUUGAUUUACACUACAUUAAUAAGAAUAAAAUGUCCAACCCAAAUAAUGUUGAACAACAAUGUUUCAAGCGGGUAUGGAAAAAAACUCUUAGAUCUGUGUUUAAAAACCCUACAAAUGCUACGAUAAUGGCUGAAACAAAAUCUAUUCAUCAAGUAAAUGUUAAUCUCAAGAAAAAAAAGUCUAGACGACGCCGGAAAAAAAAAAAUAAGCAGAAUAUUUGUGAUUGUUGUAUGGAUAGAACACAUACUAUGAAUGGCUCUAUAUCAACUUUAAAUGCAAAAGGCUCUUUAUUCCUUCAUCAUGUGCCUUGGGGUUGUCUGAACGCAGUUUGCGUUAAUGGAAUGCAGUUUGCUAAUAUUAAUAGCUUAAAAUCAUUUUUAAGUGUAAGAGAUACUCAUCAAUUUGCCGAUGAACAGUUAAAAAAGAAUGCAAGGCUAAGAGAUGCUUUUGGUAUAUCAGAAUUUUUUAUUGAAGGCUCUAGCUUAGAUCCAGAAAGAAAAAUUAAAGAAGCAGCACUGGCCCAGUUAAAAGCGUUGCAGGUGGACCAAGCACUUGUGCAAACACAAAUGAAUGAAGACACCUCAACAAAUAAAGACAGCAGUAUAGCAAAUGAACUACAGUCUAAAAGUCCUAAACACAAAAAACGAAAGAAGAAGAAAUCAAAAUCUCAUAAAAGUGACAAAGAAAAGGGAAGCGAUAAGAAAAAAUCAAAAAAACAUAAGAAGAAACAUAACUCUUCAUCUGAAGAUAGUCCAAGAAUUGACGAAGUAAAAGUCAAUAAGAAUUUGUCUCAAGUGAAAUCCAAGUAUGAUGAUGAUAAAUCUAAUAAAAUAACUACUGAAAAUAAAAAAAAAUAUGAGUCUGAGAAUAACCACAAAAAACAUAAAAGGGAUAGUGAUAAAACAUUUAAGAAUGAUACAAAAGACAUAGAUUACAAGUACAAGAGUGAUCGUGAGGAUUACCGUAAGAAAGAUUCUAAACCAGAAAACUCUAAAAACUUGAAAAAAGAUAAAAUAACUGAAGAACUUAACAAGCCUAAGUCUAAAGACAUUGCUUAUGAUUCUAAAAAACAAGAAAAUUCGCCUAGACAUAAAACACCGAUAAAGGAACGUGAUAGGGAUAGAGAGAGAGAUUAUGAUAAAUAUUCAUAUAGACAACAAACAAAUCGUGAUGACAGUAAAUCAAAUAAAGAAAAAUAUGAUAAAAAAUCUGAUAAAGCAGACUCAAAAUACAAUUCAAGGAAACGGAAUUCAAGAAGUCCUAUUAAAGAAUUAAGAAAAAAACCUAUUCAACCUGAAAAGUUAACCUGUAUUCCUGCUGAUAGUGAUAGUGACAAAUCAUGUUACACACCACCUCCCAAAGGUUUGAAUGCUAAAUUGAGUCAAUCAAAAAUUAAUGAAGAAAAAAAUCUAAAAAGUACUAAAUACACAUUUUCAUUGCGUGAGGAUAGUGAAGAUCGCUUAGUCGUAUCCAAGUCUAAUGGACGUACCGAUGACUUGAUAUCGGCGUCACAAAACAGUGAAAAUCAACAUAAGGUAUCUGAAUCUCGAAAGACGAAUGAUCGAAUAGAUCAAGUAUUUUUAGAUUCUAGUACAAGUGAAGAAGGUGGGUUAGAAGAAGAUAUUGAUUUAAAUAUUAUUAAAGAAAUCACUACAGAGAAAAUAAAAAAAGUAUUUGAGUUGCACGAAAAACAAGAGCAAGCACUGCUUCAUCUUAAAAAAAAACUAAUGGAGAAAAAACGUAAGGUUAGGACUUCUUCCAGUUCAAGUGAUAGUUCAGAUGAAGAGCCUGUUAAAAAGAAAAGUGUCAAACGGAGACGUGUUAAAGAUUCGUCAUCUAGUAACAGUGAUGUGAAUACUAGAAAAAAGUCCAAGCGCUCGCGCUCAAGUAGCAGUAGCAGCAGUGCGAGUGACACAAGUGUUGAGCAUCAUAAGUCAUUAAAAAGAUCUAAAGAUAAAUAUUCAAAGAAAAAGUCACCCUCAUUUCGUCGUCGUACCAAAGAUAGUACAUCUCGAUCUCGGUCGGUGUCAGUUAGCUCAAAUGAUCGUUUACGUAAAAAACGAGUUUCCUCAAGUGAAGAAUCAAGUCCAAGGCGUAAGCAUAAAACAUCUAAACGCAAACGUUCAUCUCGGAGACAGAGGAGCAGUGAUAGUAGUAGCAGCAGUAGAUCAUCACCAUCUUACAAAAGCAAAAGGCGCUAUAGUUCAAGCCGUUCACGUUCGACUAGUAGUUCAUCAAGCAGUCAUUACUCCCGCAGUUCUAGUUCUAGCCUGGACUCAAGCAGCUCUGUGUCUAGCCGUAGUUCAAAGUCUCGAUCUGCAUCUAUACCUAGGCGACGGGGGUCGCCUAGUUUUUUGGAUCGGAGACGAAUUACAAGGUAAAUUUUAAUGUUGUGUGUGUUCUAUACCUCCUAUUUCAUUUUUUAAUUAAAUAUAUCUUGAGUUAAACAAUUCCAUAAAAUGUUUGUUUAAACUAUAUAAAACAUAAUAUGUUUAAAUUUUUAUUUACUCAAAUUCUCAAACAAAAUAGUAAAAUUAUGUUCCUAUCUCAUUUUAAAUUAUGCUCGAAUCACGAUUUGGAUGAUGAGACUGGAACACAGUGCGAGAAAAAGACCCAUCCCAUACACAAGACUAACGCCGUUUUCCACCAAUUCUGAUACGGAUAGUGUCAUCAGCGUGCACGACUCACCAAUUGCUGAGAGCCACUAACUCGGAACUUUUUCUUUGUAAACUAACACAAUUUGUUAUAGUGCAAUAACCAUUAGGCCAAUGUUUAACGGUUAAGUUAACUAACUCUAGUCAAAUAUUUAUGGAAUGUGAAAUAAUCAUAUUUCAUAAUCUUAUUAUUAUUAUUUUAAUCUUCCUAGCAAACAAGUGAUUUUAUAACUAACAUUCCACGUAGACUAUCUAUGAGACUAAAAUUAACGAAAUCUAGUCAAAAGUCGUUCUUUUGCGUCUUGUAAAUGUUUUAAAAUUUUUGUGAUAUAUUAUUUUUGACGGGAUUAAUACAAUAUUUUUCAUGUUACCGAUAAUAUGUUUUAUGUUUUUAUUUAUUAAUUCAUUAUAUAUAUUUUUUUUAAUUUAUAUAUACAAAAUGUGUAUGUUUAAAAUAAUAUUAUUUUGGUAAUUUUCAAAAAUGGACCAAAAGUACAGACAGCAUUUAAUUGUUUUAAAUAUAAUGCAAAAUAUCAGCUUGCAAUUACACAGUAUUCUAUGUUACAUCAUUUUUAAGUUUUAACAUAUUAUAUUAUAUUAAAUAUAAUAUUUGAUUGAAAUAAAAUGUCUGUUUGUAAUUAUAACAUGUGCAAUAACAUUAAAGCAAAUUAAUGACAACCACCUAACUAUUGCUUUAUUAAGUUACCAUUUAACAAAUUAAAUUAUAGACGGUUAAUACAAUUCAUUUUUAAAAUACAAUAUUGAUUUUAUUGUUGUCAUUUGUUUGAACAUAUAUACAAUAAAAACAGUCUUUUAAAACUACAAUAAACCCCUUCCCAAAUAAAAAUUUAAAAAUUAAGCAUAAUAUUAACAAAUCUAAUUGCUCAGUCCUUUGAAAUACAAAUAUGCUUCCAAAAAAUUUUUUUUAUAAUAUAUAUUAAUACCUAAUAAGCAAAUCUAUGAAAAAAUGUUUAUGUACAACUGUAAUAAAAAUUAGGUAACAAUAUUAUAU